CCCUCCACCGCCGCCUGGCUCCACCAGCUGCAGAAAGUCUCGGUACCAGAGUUUAGGGCCCGGUGGUGCAGGGGCUGCUGCUUCCUCAGCCCGUGCCAGUCGUUCGGCCUGGACCGCACUCAGCACGUGCAGCACCAGGCGCCGCAGUGGCUGCGAAAAUCCUUGUUCAACCGCCACGCACAGAUACACGCCAGAGUCCUGGCGCCGCAGACCACGCAGCAACAGCCCCCGCGCUGUACGCUCAACCCGCUCCUCUGCCAGCACCUGCGUGUGAGCACAGGAACAGGAGCAAAGGGUCACUGGGAGCCAGAGCUGGACAAGGAAAAUAGGUGGUGGCGGGCCAAGGAACCUGGAGGGGCUCUAUGUCCCACGGGCUAUCGUGACGAGACCCUGACCUGUACCAAUGAAGAGAACAUCGUAGUGUCCGUCAGCAGCUGCUACACGGUCUGCAGCGAUUUGGGUGAAGGUGUACCCAGCUCCCACUUGGAGGAAGAGAGGGCGCCCCCCCAUGGGCAGGACUGAGUUGUACAUGAGGGGGUGGUUCCGAGCAAACUGGAUAACAUCAUCUGGGAAGUCCUUGGUGGAACUGAAGGUGCCAAAGGUCUUGCUGGGGCACUGGAGAAGGCAAAGCAGGUCAAGCAGAGAUAGACACAGGGGUUUUGUGGCCAGCCCCUCCAUUCAAAGCCUCCGGGAACAUGAAAGGUGGACAGGGACAGGUGCCCUGAGUAUUUGAGCCUUUCCCUGGGGAGCCUUAGGCUGAGGGGGCACGCGGUCGGUCUCACUCUGCAGUUCUGUCUUACAAUGGUGAGAUUUCCCCACCCAUACCAAAAGGAAGGAAUCAGACCCCCCAACAAUACCCCCAGGCCAAAGUCAAGUUCUCUACCCUUGAGACUUUGAAGCUGAUUGUUGCAAGCAGUCCCUAGCAACGCACCAUGCCGGGCCGUGGGUAGGGGACGCGACCCUGGUAGGACACCCACUGAUGCGUAGGCCCCUCCUUGUGAGCGAAGGGUCCCAAGAAGACUCGGCGCACAUCAUUCAUGCUGUACACGCACACGGCAGAGCCCUGGAAGAUGCCACUGCGGGCAAUGAAGAGCGCAAAGUGAGGAGCCCCACCAAGCCAAACUGACGGCCCAAGGGAACCUCUACUUCCUGCCCCUCACCUGGAGGUGGAGAAGACCGCAUAGAGAAGCGGCGUUUGGCGGUCCCGGGAAGACAGAAGAAACACGUCCUCUGCAGGGAAAGGAAAGGUUGGCGGGGCAGUACACACACACCCCAGGCUCCUGGAUUCUGCACCCCCUUGACUCCUCCCCUGGUGCCAUCCCUCGAGACACUCACGAAGUUGGUCAAAAUGGGUGUCACCCUCGACUCCAGGUACUGAGCAUACAAGGCGCGCCUUCAGAAAUGUGGUCCAUUUGUUGACCAAGCUGCGCUGGCCACCUAGGUCAUUCUGCUCACAGGAUCAGAAGGGAUGAGGACAAGACCUUAGCGGGCAAAGGGGCAGGGGCAAAGGUAGCCAGGGAGCGAAUGGCCCAGUGUCUCCUUACCCUGCAGAUCUGGCCAACCCGGGACACAGUCAUGCGCCCCGUUGCUGGUGCUGCCUCCACUGCCGACUCACGGAAGAAGAAAUAGAUUUUAUCAUCGUCGGGGUUCUCGCUCUCUGGGAUCCAAAAGACCUUGACAAACUUGGGUUCUAGACAAAACAGGAGGCAUGGUAUCAGCGGGUCCUAGUUCUGGCCCCAACAUUUAACCCAUCUGCAGACUCCUGCAACUCCAAGACCUACCCUUACGGUCAGCAGCUGCAAGGCAAGAAGCAGCCACGAGGGGGCAGUAGAGACCACAGCUACAAGCACAAGCAGGCUGCCACUCUCCCCUUUACAGGGCUUCUGACCAUGCCACACUGUCUUACAUUUGCCAGGAAGAGGGAAAUGAGUAUCUGCUUUCACCUUCAUUCAUAAAUCUUCCUCCCUAGCAAACCAACACUCCCUGUUCCUCCUUCAGUUCCUGCCGUCCCAUAGUAAAGGACUCCAGCCCUUGA